GUGGGGAAUAUUGGACAAUGGGCGAAAGCCUGAUCCAGCCAUGCCGCGUGUGUGAAGAAGGUCUUCGGAUUGUAAAGCACUUUAAGUUGGGAGGAAGGGCAGUAAGUUAAUACCUUGCUGUUUUGACGUUACCGACAGAAUAAGCACCGGCUAACUUCGUGCCAGCAGCCGCGGUAAUACGAAGGGUGCAAGCGUUAAUCGGAAUUACUGGGCGUAAAGCGCGCGUAGGUGGUUCAGCAAGUUGGAGGUGAAAUCCCCGGGCUCAACCUGGGAACUGCCUCCAAAACUACUGGGCUAGAGUACGGUAGAGGGUAGUGGAAUUUCCUGUGUAGCGGUGAAAUGCGUAGAUAUAGGAAGGAACACCAGUGGCGAAGGCGACUACCUGGACUGAUACUGACACUGAGGUGCGAAAGCGUGGGGAGCAAACAGGAUUAGAAACCCCUGUAGUCC
rnacentral:rRNA from 1 species